GUGACAUCUGUUCUGGUCUCUAAGGUAGGAAUGUGGAGUGUGUUAGGGAAGAUUGAUUGGACAAGAUGAAAUAAAGUGGAACCUCCAGGUUUGGAGUUAGCCAGGCAAAGCAAAGAGAACAUAUGGUUUUCACUUGUGGAACAUCCUGGAGGUUUUUAAAAAUUAUUUAUAGACCCUUUUGUAAUAAUCUACUUGCUACAUGACCUGGAAGCUUGAAAGAAACACUGCUGUGACCACUCAAUCUCCUUCACAAGUGUUUUAGGACCAACAGUCCAGCAGAUUCUCAAUGUUUGGUAAGAGACAUGCUUAGAUUGUGCUGUUCCUACAACGCAAAGCCAGAUAACACUUUGACCAACUUCAGAAAAAGUGGUUAUGUGGAAAAAAAUGUGGAAGUAAAUAUACAGGUAGGUGCUUCCCAAUUGACUCUAGUUAAGCAGAAUAUAGAGUAUAUAAUCUAUGUUAAUGUUAAUUGAAAUGCAUAAUGACUUUCAUAUCUCUCUGCAUCUGAUGUUUUCAAGAAUAAUAGCAAAUUAGAAAUAUUUACAUAAGAUUUUUACUCCAUUAUUUAUUUCAAAUUUAUGUAUUUAUUUAUUUAUUUUCAGAUAGAGUUUUGCUUUUUUCACCCAGGCUGGAGUGUAAUGGCACAAUCUUGCCUCACUGCAACCUCUGCCUCCCGAAUUCAAGGGAUUCUCCUGCCUCAGCCUCCCGAGUAGCUGGGAUUACAGGCACCCGCCACCAGGCACGGUAUUUUUAGUAGACACGGGGUUUCACCAUGUUGGCCAGGCUGGUCUCGAACUCCUGACCUCAGGUGAUCUACCUGCCUCAGCCUCCCAAAGUGCUGGGAUUACAGGUGUGAGCCACCACACCCGGCCAAGAUGGUGAAACCACGUCUCUACUAAAAAUACAAAAAUUAACCAGGUGUGGUGGCAGGCACCUGUAUUCCUAGCUACUUGGGAGGCUGAGACAGGAGAAUCACUUGAACGUGGGAGGAGGAGGUUACAGCGAGCAGAGAUCGCUCCAUUGCUCUCUAGCCUGGGCAACAAGAAGGAAACUCCUUCUGAAAAAAAAAAAAAAGAAUAAAUAAAAGUAAGCAAAUAUUAGGAGCAUAUUGUUGAAAGUUAUAGAAUCUUAGUAACAUAUGACUCUAAUUAUUUGUUAAGGUUA
ensembl:lincRNA